rnacentral:rRNA from 1 species
AGAGUUUGAUCAUGGCUCAGGAUGAACGCUAGCUACAGGCUUAACACAUGCAAGUCGAGGGGAAACGACAUCGAAAGCUUGCUUUUGAUGGGCGUCGACCGGCGCACGGGUGAGUAACGCGUAUCCAACCUGCCCACCACUUGGGGAUAACCUUGCGAAAGUAAGACUAAUACCCAAUGAUAUCUCUAGAAGACAUCUGAAAGAGAUUAAAGAUUUAUCGGUGAUGGAUGGGGAUGCGUCUGAUUAGCUUGUUGGCGGGUAACGCCACAAGGCGACGAUCAGUAGGGUUCUGAGAGGAAGGUCCCCCANAUUGGAACUGAGACACGGUCCAAACUCCUACGGGAGCA